rnacentral:rRNA from 1 species
CCUACGGGUGGCAGCAGUGAGGAAUAUUGGUCAAUGGACGCAAGUCUGAACCAGCCAUGCCGCGUGCAGGAAGACGGCUCUAUGAGUUGUAAACUGCUUUUGUACGAGGAUAAACGCAGACACGCGUACCUGUCUGAAAGUAUCUUACGAAUAAGGAUCGGCUAACUCCGUGCCAGCAGCCGCGGUAAUACGGAGGAUUCGAGCGUUAUCCGGAUUUAUUGGGUUUAAAGGGUGCGUAGGCGGGCGGGUAAGUUAGUGGUGAAAUCCCGAGGCUCAACUUCGGAAUUGCCACUGAUACUGUUAGGCUUGAGAGUAGGUGAGGUAGGCGGAAUGUACGGUGUAGCGGUGAAAUGCUUAGAGAU